rnacentral:rRNA from 1 species
AUUGAACGCUGGCGGCAGGCUUAACACAUGCAAGUCGAGCGGAGAUGAGGUGCUUGCACCUUAUCUUAGCGGCGGACGGGUGAGUAAUGCUUAGGAAUCUGCCUAUUAGUGGGGGACAACAUUCCGAAAGGAAUGCUAAUACCGCAUACGUCCUACGGGAGAAAGCAGGGGAUCUUCGGACCUUGCGCUAAUAGAUGAGCCUAAGUCGGAUUAGCUAGUUGGUGGGGUAAAGGCCUACCAAGGCGACGAUCUGUAGCGGGUCUGAGAGGAUGGUCCCCCACACUGGGACUGAGACACGGCCCAGACUCCUACGGGAGGCAGCAGUGGGGAAUAUUGGACAAUGGGGGGAACCCUGAUCCAGCCAUGCCGCGUGUGUGAAGAAGGCCUUAUGGUUGUAAAGCACUUUAAGCGAGGAGGAGGCUACUGAGACUAAUACUCUUGGAUAGUGGACGUUACUCGCAGAAUAAGCACCGGCUAACUCUGUGCCAGCCGCCGCAGUAACAC